CCUACGGGAGGCAGCAGUGGGGGAUAUUGGACAAUGCGGGGAACCCUGAUCCAGCGACGCCGCGUGAGUGAAGAAGUAUUUCGGUAUGUAAAGCUCUGUCAGCAGGGAAGAAAGAAAUGACGGUACCUGACCAAGAAGCCCCGGCUAACUACGUGCCAGCAGCCGCGGUAAUACGUAGGGGGCAAGCGUUAUCCGGAAUUACUGGGUGUAAAGGGAGCGUAGACGGUUAAGUAAGUCUGGAGUGAAAGGCCGGGGCCCAACCCCGGGACUGCUCUGGAAACUAUUGAACUUGAGUGCAGGGGAGGUAAGCGGAAUUCCUAGUGUAGCGGUGAAAUGCGUAGAUAUUAGGAGGAACACCAGUGGCGAAGGCGGCUUACUGGACUGUAACUGACGUUGAGGCUCGAAAGCGUGGGGAGCAAACAGGAUUAGAUACCCUUGUAGUC
rnacentral:rRNA from 1 species